rnacentral:pre_miRNA from 1 species
UUGACAGAUUAUUGUAUUCGACUGUAUUCACGGCGUGAAAUAGGGGAUUAANGUGAAUCAAUUAACAUAAUAGGCUCCU